GUGUCAGCAGCCGCGGUAAUACGGAGGAUGCAAGCGUUAUCCGGAUUUAUUGGGUUUAAAGGGUGCGUAGGCGGAAUAAUAAGUCAGCGGUGAAAUCCUGUGGCUCAACCAUAGAAUUGCCAUUGAUACUGUUAUUCUUGAGUAUAGUUGAAGUGGGCGGAAUGUGUAAUGUAGCGGUGAAAUGCUUAGAUAUUACACAGAACACCAAUUGCGAAGGCAGCUCACUAAGCUGUUACUGACGCUGAGGCACGAAAGCGUGGGGAGCAAACAGGAUUAGAAACCCCCGUAGUCC
rnacentral:rRNA from 1 species